rnacentral:rRNA from 1 species
UUAUACCUACGGGGGGCAGCAGUGGGGAAUAUUGCACAAUGGGGGGAACCCUGAUGCAGCAAUGCCGCGUGGGUGAAGAAGCACUCCGGUGCGUAAAGCCCUGUCAGCAGGGAAGAAAAUGACAGUACCUGGACAAGAAGCCCCGGCUAACUACGUGCCAGCAGCCGCGGUAAUACGUAGGGGGCAAGCGUUAUCCGGAAUUACUGGGUGUAAAGGGAGCGUAGACGGUAACGCAAGUCUGGAGUGAAAGGCGGGGGCCCAACCCCCGGACUGCUCUGGAAACUGUGUAACUGGAGGGCAGGAGG